CAAUAGCAUAUAUUAACGUUGUUGCAGUUGAAAAGCUCGUAGUUGAACUUUUGGUAGGAGCGACCUGGCCUUGGGCGCAUGCCCUUGUUUGCCGUGUGUCGUAUCUGGCCAUCCUUUUCUUCUUCGGAAGGAAUCCUUUACUGUGAGUAAACUGGAGUGCUCAAAACAAGACGUUUGUUUGGUACAUUAAAGCAUGGAAUAAUAAGAUAGGACCUGGUUACUAUUUUGUUGGUUUGCAUAGCUAGGUAAUGAUUAACAGGGACAGUUGGGGGUAUUCGUAUUUAAUUGUCAGAGGUGAAAUUCUUGGAUUUAUGAAAGACGAACGACUGCGAAAGCAUUUACCAAGGAUGUUUUCAUUAA
rnacentral:rRNA from 1 species